UACGGAGGGUGCGAGCGUUAAUCGGAAUUACUGGGCGUAAAGCGCACGCAGGCGGUCUGUUAAGUCAGAUGUGAAAUCCCCGGGCUCAACCUGGGAACUGCAUUCGAAACUGGCAGGCUAGAGUACUGUAGAGGGGAGUGGAAUUCCCGGUGUAGCGGUGAAAUGCGUAGAGAUGUGGAGGAAUACCAGUGGCGAAGGCGGCAACCUGGACUAAUACUGACGCUCAGGUGCGAAAGCGUGGGGAGCAAACAGG
rnacentral:rRNA from 1 species